UACGUAGGGGGCAAGCGUUGUCCGGAUUUAUUGGGCGUAAAGAGCGUGUAGGCGGCUAUACAGGUCCGUUGUGAAAACUCGAGGCUCAACCUCGAGAUGUCGAUGGAAACCGUCUGGCUAGAGUCCGGAAGAGGAGUGUGGAAUUCCUGGUGUAGCGGUGAAAUGCGCAGAUAUCAGGAAGAACACCUAUGGCGAAGGCAGCACUCUGGGACGGUACUGACGCUGAGACGCGAAAGCGUGGGGAGCGAACAGG
rnacentral:rRNA from 1 species